rnacentral:rRNA from 1 species
UACGGGGGGGGCAAGCGUUGUUCGGAAUUACUGGGCGUAAAGGGCUCGUAGGCGGCCAACUAAGUCAGACGUGAAAUCCCCAGGCUUAACCUGGGAACUGCGUCUGAUACUGGAUGGCUUGAAUUCGGGAGAGGGAUGCAGAAUUCCAGGUGUAGCGGUGAAAUGCGUAGAUAUCUGGAGGAACACCGGUGGCGAAGGCGGCAUCCUGGACCGGUAUUGACGCUGAGGCGCGAAAGCCAGGGGAGCAAACGGG